rnacentral:other from 1 species
AAUAGCCUGCUUUGUGCGUUAUGUUGCUGUAGUCCUUGAGCCGAUAAUUUUAUCUUAGGGAGUUCUCGUCAGCCAAUGGUGUGCAAGUCCGGCGCGUAUCGGAAAGCCUUAUUUGGUUGCAGAAUUCCCCCCUGAACCUUCGGGUUCAUGGGCGAGACCAACAGACGGCAAAGCGGGUACCUA